ACAAUUUUAAAUAUUUCAUGUCUGGAACUCUCAUUUUUACAAUAGUCUAGAAUCAAAAAAGAACUCUGAGAAAUUUGAAAAAGAAAAAAUAAAGUGCCAAACAUCAAUUAUCAAUACGUUUACAGUAAGGAAAAAUUGCAGCCACAUUCCUCGACCUUCAAUUUUUGUAGCAAAGAGUUUCUUUCAGACUAUUGCUGUCAAAACAAGUGUUAAGAGGGGGUGAAAAGGCGAUUUACCCUCACAUUCGAAUAAACCAAAAGCAACCAUAAAAAGAAAAGAAAAUCUCCCUCGCCAACCUGUAUCUAAGUAUUCAAAAGACAAAUGCCUAUCUGCAAAGUCCAAAACCCCGGCAUUUUUAGAUCUCUUAAUCUCUCACAGAGAAUAUGGAUAGAAUACGUUCGUAUGCUAGGUUGGGGAAUAUUGAGUUGACUGCUGGUCUCUUCUAGACGUUCUCCCAAUGCACCUUCUGCACUGUCGUUGUGUCUUUAAGGGAGAAGGCAGGCUG
rnacentral:lncRNA from 1 species